rnacentral:rRNA from 1 species
UACGUAGGGUGUGAGCGUUGUCCGGAAUUAUUGGGCGUAAAGGGCUCGUAGGCGGUCUGUCGCGUCGAAAGUGAAAACCCAGGGCUUAACCCUGGGCCUGCUUCCGAUACGGGCAGACUAGAGGUAUGCAGGAGAGAACGGAAUUCCUGGUGUAGCGGUGAAAUGCGCAGAUAUCAGGAGGAACACCGGUGGCGAAGGCGGUUCUCUGGGCAUUACCUGACGCUGAGGAGCGAAAGUGUGGGGAGCGAACAGG